GGUUAAGUCCCGCAACGAGCGCAACCCUUAUCCUUUGUUGCCAGCGCGUGAUGGCGGGAACUCAAAGGAGACUGCCGGUGAUAAACCGGAGGAAGGUGGGGAUGACGUCAAGUCAUCAUGGCCCUUACGAGUAGGGCUACACACGUGCUACAAUGGCAGAUACAAAGAGAAGCGACCUCGCGAGAGCAAGCGGAACUCAUAAAGUCUGUCGUAGUCCGGAUUGGAGUCUGCAACUCGACUCCAUGAAGUCGGAAUCGCUAGUAAUCGUAGAUCAGAAUGCUACGGUGAAUACGUUCCCGGGCCUUGUACACACCGCCCGUCACACCAUGGGAGUGGGUUGCAAAAGAAGUAGGUAGCUACCCUUUUUGG
rnacentral:rRNA from 1 species